GAUGAACGCUAGCGGCAGGCCUAACACAUGCAAGUCGAGGGGCAGCGCGGGUAGCAAUACCCGGCGGCGACCGGCGCACGGGUGCGUAACACGUAUGCAAUCUGCCCUGUACAGGAGAAUAACCCGGAGAAAUCCGGCCUAAUGCUCCAUAGCGCGUAGGAGCGGCAUCGCCCUUACGCUAAAGAGCCAUCGGUACAGGAUGAGCAUGCGCCCUAUUAGCUAGUUGGCGGGGUAACAGCCCACCAAGGCCACGAUAGGUAGGGGUUCUGAGAGGAAGGCCCCCCACACUGGUACUGAGACACGGACCAGACUCCUACGGGAGGCAGCAGUGAGGAAUAUUGGUCAAUGGGCGCAAGCCUGAACCAGCCAUGCCGCGUGCAGGACGACGGCCCUACGGGUUGUAAACUGCUUUUGCACGGGAGCAAACCCGGCCCCGCGGGGCCGGUUGAGAGUACCGUGCGAAUAAGGAUCGGCUAACUCCGUGCCAGCAGCCGCGGUAAUACGGAGGAUCCGAGCGUUAUCCGGAUUCAUUGGGUUUAAAGGGUGCGUAGGCGGCUUGGUAAGUCAGCGGUGAAAGGCUGGGGCUCAACCCCAGCAGCGCCGUUGAAACUGCCGAGCUUGAGUACGGAUGAAGCCGGCGGAAUGCGCAGUGUAGCGGUGAAAUGCAUAGAUAUUGCGCAGAAGGCCGAUUGCGAAGGCAGCUGGCUAAUCCGGAACUGACGCUGAGGCACGAAAGCGUGGGGAUCAAACAGGAUUAGAUACCCUGGUAGUCCACGCCGUAAACGAUGAUAGCUCGCUGCUGGCGAUACACAGUCAGUGGCCAAGCGAAAGCGGUAAGCUAUCCACCUGGGGAGUACGUUCGCAAGAAUGAAACUCAAAGGAAUUGACGGGGGCCCGCACAAGCGGAGGAACAUGUGGUUUAAUUCGAUGAUACGCGAGGAACCUUACCCGGGCUCGAACGGCUUCUGAAUGCGGGCGAAAGCCCGCAGCCAGCAAUGGCAGGA
rnacentral:rRNA from 1 species